rnacentral:rRNA from 1 species
AUUGAACGCUGGCGGCAGGCUUAACACAUGCAAGUCGAGCGGAGAUGAGGUGCUUGCACCUUAUCUUAGCGGCGGACGGGUGGGUAAUGCUUAGGAAUCUGCCUAUUAGUGGGGGACAACAUUCCGAAAGGAAUGCUAAUACCGCAUACGUCCUACGAGAGAAAGCAGGGGAUCUUCGGACCUUGCGCUAAUAGAUGAGCCUAAGUCGGAUUAGCUAGUUGGUGGGGUAAAGGCCUACCAAGGCGACGAUCUGUAGCGGGUCUGAGAGGAUGAUCCGCCACACUGGGACUGAGACACGGCCCAGACUCCUACGGGAGGCAGCAGUGGGGAAUAUUGGACAAUGGGGGGAACCCUGAUCCAGCCAUGCCGCGUGUGUGAAGAAGGCCUUAUGGUUGUAAAGCACUUUAAGCGAGGAGGAGGCUACUGAGACUAAUACUCUUGGAUAGUGGACGUUACUCGCAGAAUAAGCACCGGCUAACUCUGUGCCAGCAGCCGCGGUAAAAC